GAGCUCACUUCUCAGCACAUAGGCUGAAAUUGGAAUGAUACACAGAAGAUUAGCAUGGCCCCUGUGCAAGGCUGACAUGCAAAUUCAUGAAGCAUUUCAUAUUUUA